AUGCCUCGACUGGCAGGGCCUACAUGUGGCACAGUUCCAAGGGCUUCCGUUUGGGACGACGACCUCAUACUCAAGGUCAUGAGGAAGGAAAAGAAGGGUCCAGGGGAGUACAACAAGCUGCGACCCGGCAGGACUUUGCCUUGUAUGGCAUUUUGCCUGAAACUUGCACAAGAAGCUUCACAGGAAAACAGGCUUCCCAAGCCACUACCAGACCCACUAAAAAACCCUCAUCAAGCUAUCAAAGUAAUGCCCAUGCAAGGAAACCUCUACCAGCUACCAUCAACUAUACUUCGGGGCACAUUACAAAACAGUGCGGGAGAUUAA
rnacentral:rRNA from 1 species